AGGACGAACGCUGGCGGCGUGCCUAACACAUGCAAGUGGAGCGACGAACCGGGCUUCGGCCCGGGGCAAAGCCGCGAACGGGUGAGUAACACGUGGGUAACCUGCCCUGAUGAUCGGGACAACCCGAGGAAACUCGGGCUAAUACCGAAUGUGCCCUACGGCCGUAAGGCUGCUGGGGAAAGGAAGCUUCGGCCUCCGCAUCGGGAUGGGCCCGCGGCCCAUUAGCUUGUUGGUGAGGUAACGGCUCACCAAGGCGACGAUGGGUAGCUGGUCUGAGAGGACGAUCAGCCACACUGGGACUGAGACACGGCCCAGACUCCUACGGGAGGCAGCAGUGGGGAAUCUUGCGCAAUGCGCGAAAGCGUGACGCAGCAACGCCGCGUGGGGAAGACGGCCCUCGGGUUGUAAACCCCUUUCGAGUUGGGACGAAGCUCCGUCGGUGAAUAGCGGCUGGAGUGACGGUACCUCAGAAGAAGCCCGGCUAACUACGUGCCAGCAGCCGC
rnacentral:rRNA from 1 species